AUAGCGUAUAUUAAAGUUGUUGCAGUUAAAAAGCUCGUAGUUGAACUUCAGACCUGGCUGGGCGGUCUGCUUAACGGCAUGUACUGUCUGGCUGGGUCUUACCUCUUGGUGAGCUGGUGUGCCCUUUAUUGGUGUGCACCAGGGAACCAGGACUUUUACCUUGAGAAAAUUAGAGUGUUCAAAGCAGGCACUUGCCUGAAUACAUUAGCAUGGAAUAAUGGAAUAGGACGUGCGGUUCUAUUUUGUUGGUUUCUAGAGUCGCCGUAAUGAUUAAUAGGGAUAGUUGGGGGCAUUGGUAUUGAGUCGCUAGAGGUGAAAUUCUUGGAUUGACUCAAGACCGACUAUUG
rnacentral:rRNA from 1 species